rnacentral:lncRNA from 10 species
GGGGAGGGGAGGGAGGAGGGGGAGGAAUCUUGCAAUCUGAAUAAAAACAUCUUUGGGCCUCAUUUGCGCCCCAGGCCCCCCAGGCUCCGCCAGGCUGGGGGGUGGAGGUGCAGGCAGUGGUGGAGAGCUGAGUCCUGGACUGGCCUAGGAGACCCCAGUCCUGGCUGCACGGCCUCAACCACGUGACUUGGAGGGGCAGCUCCUCCUCUUGACACCCCAGCUGUUCACCCGCACAGCCUGGAGCCCACCCUGCUGUCGGGGCUGCGGUGAGAAUCUGCUGAGGGCCUGUGUUGCAGGGUCUGGUGUCGCCCAGGGAAGUUCUGCACCAGGUCGAAUCUCCAGGCCUCCUAUUGUGUUUUAAUCACAGUCUACCUGUCUAGACCUAGUGUGUCCUACAGGGUGUGCGGUGGCCAGGCCCCAGGGGGCCCCAGGGACCCUCACCUCCCAGCAUCUGUCACCUCCUGCCCUCCCGUGGGCUUCUGGGCUUGGUCUGUGCAACCCACAGCCCUUGGUGGGAGUGUUGGUGUGUGGCUUCCUGGGCGCCCGGGGCCCCUCGGCGGGGCUGGUUAGAACCGGUGCUGUGGCACAGACAGCAGCUGGUGCCAGGUGGCCCUGGCCGGAGACACUCAGGGCACAUGGACGUGCAAAGACAGCAGGCGGCCGAACACCUGUCACCGUCCCAUGUCACGUAAGGGGAGCAGUGCACAUCGGCACUGGCCGUGUGAGCCCGUGGUGUGUAAAUUCCUCCAGGGAACAGGUUCACCAGCCCUGCGGAGAGCCGUGCGUGCAGCUGGCACGGGGGGUCCCUGAGAAGAUCCUGGCCCUGCUGUGCUCGACUCCGCGGGGGACGCUCAGCCCUCCUCGACAGAAGCGGCCCGGGGGCACCCACUGCUCGGAGGACGCACCCCGUGGGUGGGGCUGGGAGGCUCCUGCCUGGCGCUGCUGAGUAUUGGAGGGGCCGCGGAUUCCUGGGGUGGUACCCGCCCAGCCCAGCGCUCAUCAGAGGACUCGGAUUGUGCGGAAGGUUGGAGCAUGGUCCUGCCCUCCUCUCUCUCUCCCUGCCUGCCGUGCGCCCGCCCUCACUGUGGCCUCUGGACUCCUGCUGGAGUCUCCUUGAUGACAUUUAAGUCACAGCUCCACCUGGAAUUCAACUUGGGCUCAGACACCCCAACCCUCUGGGAUGGAAAAGAAGAAAAUGGAGAGUGUGGGGCAGACGCCGGCCGAGCCGAGGGCAGGUCAGCACAGCCUCAUGUCCGGCAGAGGGUGUCCAGGUUCUUGGCAUCAUGAACAAAGAAUUGGACAAAAUGCACAAAGCAACGGAAGAAGGAAGCAGCAAAGGCAGAGACGUGUGGAACAUGAACGCGCACUCCACAGUGCAGUGGGAGCCGGGCUGAGCACAGGGGGUCGGGAGCCCUGUUACAGAACUGCCUGGGGUCUAAAUAUGCUCCAGAGGUUUCCACUGGUUACUUGGUAUAUGCCCUAUGUAAACGGAGAGGUUAUUUCCUGUUGUAGCUGAUGUGUUUCCAUUUGAUUUUGUUCUACGGAGUCAGCGUGAAACAGCCUUAGGUUCCCAGGCUCCAGAUCCUCUUCUCCUCCCUCACUGGGUCCCAGUCAUUGCCCCAU